rnacentral:rRNA from 1 species
CCUACGGGGUGCAGCAGUGAGGAAUAUUGGUCAAUGGACGAGAGUCUGAACCAGCCAAGUAGCGUGAAGGAUGACUGCCCUAUGGGUUGUAAACUUCUUUUAUAUGGGAAUAAAAUGUUCCACGUGUGGGAUUUUGUAUGUACCAUAUGCAUAAGGAUAGGCUAACUCGGGGCCAGCAGCCGCGGUAAUACGGAGGAUCCGAGCGUUAUCCGGAUUUAUUGGGUUUAAAGGGAGCGUAGGUGGAUUGUUAAGUCAGUUGUGAAAGUUUGCGGCUCAACCGUAAAAUUGCAGUUGAAACUGGCAGUCUUGAGUACAGUAGAGGUGGGCGGAAUUCGUGGUGUAGCGGUGAAAUGCGUAGAUAUCACGAAGAACUCCGAUGGCGAAGGCAGCUCCCUGGACUGCAACUGACGCUGAGGUGCGAAAGUGUGGGGAUCAAACAGGAUUAGAUACCCUAGUAGUC